rnacentral:tRNA from 1 species
CGGCGUAUAGCUUAGUGGUUAAAGCACCGGCUUUAUAAGCCCUCUGAUUUGGGGACGACCUGGGUUCGAUUCCCAGUACGCCGACCA